AUUGAACGCUGGCGGCAGGCCUAACACAUGCAAGUCGAGCGAGCGGCGGACGGGUGAGUAAUGUAUGGUGACUGCCCGUUAGAGGGGGAUAACUACUGGAAACGGUGGCUAAUACCGCAUACUAUCGUAUAACCCAUAUGGGAUUAGCUGGUAGGUGGGGUAAAGGCUCACCUAGGCGACGAUCUCUAGCGGGUAUGAGAGGAUGAUCAGCCAAAUUGGGACUGAGACACGGCCCAGAUGCCUCCGGAGGCAGAAGGGGGGAAUAUGCCACAAUGGGCGAAAGCCGGAGGCAGCCAUGCCGCGUGUAUGAAGAAGGCCUUAGGGUUGUAAAGUACGUUCAGCGGGGAGGCGUUACCCGAAGAAGAAGCACCGGCUAACUCCGUGCCAGCAGCCGCGGUAAUAC
rnacentral:rRNA from 1 species